rnacentral:RNase_P_RNA from 2 species
AGCAUUGGCCAACAGCUGCUUUUUAAGUAGAGGAAAGUCCACGCUAGCACAAUCUGAGAUGAUUGUAGUGUUCAUGUUGGAUCUAAUAAAUCCAAGCUUAGACGACUAGUGCCACAGAGACGAGAAUUGUGAAACGCGGUAAACUCCAUGAGCUAGAAACCCAAAUUUUGGUAGGGGAACUUUUUCAAGAGAAUUCAAUUAAGAAAAAGAAUUAUCUUUUUUGAUAAUUAGAUAAAUUGUUGGCACUCUUAAGAGUACAAAACGUGGCUUAUAGAU